UAAAUCGUGAAGUCAAUUAGCAUUAUGCACAUAUGAUCAAAUGCAGAUUAGAUGAGGAAUGUGACAUUUAGCAAGCUAGCUAACUGGGCACAGCUUGUGCUUUAGUUUGCUACGUGAUCCCGGAUCUUUAGGCUGGUUUAUGGAUUGACAUAGACCGGUUGCAGCCCGCAACCCUCUGAUCCUAGGAAGUCUCAAUGCCGGAUGCACUGAUUUUCCACAAAAGCCCACUUCAAUUGCCUCACAAUGGUCCCUUCAGCCACUUUCUCAGCAUGUCUCCACCACCUCCAGCCAGAGACAACACAGUGAACAGAUUGCACGGGCAGGUGUGGACCUGGUUCCACAAUACAGGACGCCAAGAUAAGGAUGAUGGCGAAACAUCUACUAUCAGCAAAUCUCUUUCAUCUCUUCACAAUAUACUUGACUGCACUGGUUCACUGGAAAAACAUGAAACUGAGUACGUUACCACUGAAUGACAAGGUGGUGUUUCCUGUUUUAUGAGUCAAAUGCAUCUUAUUUUUAGAUAAGAGAUCCUUAAGAUGUAUAUUUAUGACUAGUUCAGUCAACUUCACUGAACACCAGAGGGGGACACAAUCCCUCAGCCGAAGGGUUUUUGUGAAGUUCAUAAGAAAUGUGCAAAUAAACAGGUGCAACUGUACAUUUUGUUGCUUGUUCUGUACCUCAUUUUUAAGUUGCUAUUAAAAAAGUCUUCUAAAUCAGAACAAAACAAAGAACACAGAAGGCCUCACUGACAGCAGAAAGAAAAAACACAGCAGUACUAAAAGAGAUCUUCACUUAAGCAAUAACGAUUAUUUAGUCAUAAUUAGGAUUUAUUUAUUUCGAAAAUAUAUAAUGAAGCUUGCAAAUCGUAGAACAGCAUCCCAAUUGUGAAGCAUGGAGGUGGAAGCAUCAUGUAGUGCCACAUUUCUACAGGAAGGACGGGUUUUCUGAAAAUACAAGACUGAGAGCAAAUAAACAGGGUUAACAGCAAUAAACAGAUAGAAAUAAGGCAAAAAUAUGUACCCCAUACACUGUCUGGUUUUCUUUAAAUAAGCAAAAAAAAAA